CCUACGGGUGGCAGCAGUGGGGAAUAUUGCACAAUGGGGGAAACCCUGAUGCAGCGACGCCGCGUGAGUGAAGAAGUAAUUCGUUAUGUAAAGCUCUAUCAGUAGGGAAGAAAAUGACGGUACCUGAGUAAGAAGCCCCGGCUAACUACGUGCCAGCAGCCGCGGUAAUACGUAGGGGGCAAGCGUUAUCCGGAUUUACUGGGUGUAAAGGGAGCGUAGACGGCUGUGCAAGUCUGGUGUGAAAGGCGGGGGCUCAACCGUCGGACUGCUCGGGAAACUGUAAGGCUGGAGUGCAGGAGAGGUAGGUGGAAUUCGUGGUGUAGCGGUGAAAUGCGUAGAUAUUAGGAGGAACACCGAUUGCGAAGGCGGCUUACUGGAUUGUAACUGACGUUGAGGCUCGAAAGCGUGGGGAUCAAACAGGAUUAGAUACCCGGGUAGUC
rnacentral:rRNA from 1 species